GUUGAAGCGCGGGUAAGACCGCGUGGAGGACCGAACCCACCUGGGUUGAAAACCGGGGGGAUGACCUGGGGCUAGGGGUGAAAGGCCAAUCAAAUUCCGUGAUAGCUGGUUCUCUCCGAAAUGCAUUUAGGUGCAGCGUCGGUUGAUUGCAUCGCGGGGGUAGAGCUACUGGAUGCUUGCGGGCCCGUGUCGGGUACCAAUAGCAGCCAAACUCCGAAUACCGUGGAUGUGUAUUCCGGCAGUGAGUCGGCGGGGGAUAAGCUCCGUCGUCGAGAGGGAGACAGCCCAGAUCGUCGUCUAAGGUCCCGAAGCGUGUGCUAAGUGGGAAAGGAUGUGGAGUCGCAUAGACAGCCAGGAGGUUGGCUCAGAAGCAGCCAUCCUUGAAAGAGUGCGUAACAGCUCACUGGUCUAGUGGUUCCGCGCCGACAAUGUAGCGGGGCUCAAGCACGCCACCGAAGACGCGGCAGCGUCCGUUUGGAUGCUGGGUAGGAGAGCGUCCCCAUCGGGGCGAAGCGGCGGCGCAAGCCUGCCGUGGACCGUUGGGGAGUGAGAAUGCAGACAUGAGUAGCGAGAGGCGGGUGCGAAUCCCGCCCGCUGGAUGACCAAGGGUUCCGGGGCCACGUUCGUCGUCCCCGGGUGAGUCGGGUCCUAAGGCGAGGCCGACAGGCGUAGUCGAAUGGAUGAACGGGUGGAUAUUCCCGUACCGGCGGCGUACCGUAAGAGCCGAACGGAUGAGUACUAACCUCCGGUCGCGUGGCGUCGUUCCCUUCGGGGUUCGGUGUCCGCGGUCGUUGGGAGCGUAGUCCUGGUAGGCUAGCGCACAGGGGUGACACGGAAUGGGAGCCGGCCGCGGAGGUGGUUUUCCGUGGUCAAGCACGCAGCCCGUCCCAUAGGCAAAUCCGUGGGACGCAUAGGGUGAGGUGUGAUGAUGGGCGUCCUUUGGACGCGAUAUCCGGUGGUCCAGGCCGUCGAGAAAAGCCUCGGCGCGAGGGGCGUCGCCGCCCGUACCCCAAACCGACACUGGUGGUCAGGUAGAGAAUACCAAGGCGAUCGAGCGAAUCCUGGUCAAGGAACUCGGCAAAUCACUCCCGUGCCUUCGGUAUAAGGGAGACCCCCUGGCGUGAAGAGGCUUGCCCUCGGAGCGUUGGGGGGUGGCACAGACCAGGGGGUAGCGACUGUUUACCAAAAACACAGGUGCAUGCGAAGGCGCAAGCCGCUGUAUAUGCACUGACGCCUGCCCGGUGCCGGAAGGUUAAGAGGAUCCGUCAGCCCCUUUUGGGGUGAAGCGGUGAAUUCAAGCCCCGGUAAACGGCGGUGGUAACUAUAACCAUCCUAAGGUAGCGAAAUUCCUUGUCGGGUAAGUUCCGACCUGCACGAAUGGCGUAACGACUUCCCCACUGUCUCGACCAGGAGCUCGGCGAAAUUGCAGUACGAGUAAAGAUGCUCGUUAAGCGCAGAAGGACGAAAAGACCCCGGGACCUUUACUAUACCUUGGUAUUGGCGUUAGGCGCGGAUUGUGUAGCAUAGGCGGGAGGCUUCGAAGCAUGGGCGCCAGCCCGUGUGGAGCCGCAAGGUGAAAUACCGCUCUGUUCUCGUUUGACGUCUAACCUCGAACAGUCAUCCUGUUCAGGGACAGUGCCUGGCGGGUAGUUUAACUGGGGCGGUUGCCUCCCAAAGAGUAACGGAGGCGCUCAAAGGGCCGCUCAGCCCGGUUGGCAAUCGGGUUUCGAGUGUAAUCGCACAAGCGGGCUUGACUGCGAGAACGACGGUUCGGGCAGGGACGAAAGUCGGAGAUAGUGAUCCGGUGCCGGCGCACGGGCGCGGCAUCGCUCAACGGAUAAAAGGUACCCCGGGGAUAACAGGCUGAUCAUUCCCAAGAGUCCAUAUCGACGGGAUGGUUUGGCACCUCGAUGUCGGCUCGUCGCAUCCUGGGGCUGGAGCAGGUCCCAAGGGUUCGGCUGUUCGCCGAUUAAAGCGGCACGCGAGCUGGGUUCAGAACGUCGUGAGACAGUUUGGUCUCUAUCCUCUGCGCUCGUUGGAAUC
rnacentral:rRNA from 1 species